UACGGAGGAUGCAAGCGUUAUCCGGAAUGAUUGGGCGUAAAGCGUCCGUAGGUGGCGAUGUAAGUCUGCUGUUAAAGAGCAAAGCUUAACUUUGUAAAAGCAGUGGAAACUACAUCGCUAGAGUGCGUUCGGGGCAGAGGGAAUUCCUGGUGUAGCGGUGAAAUGCGUAGAGAUCAGGAAGAACACCGGUGGCGAAGGCGCCACUCUGGGCCGAAACUGACGCUGAGGAGCGAAAGCGUGGGUAGCAAACAGG
rnacentral:rRNA from 1 species